AUGCAAGUCGAGGGGCAGCAUGGUGUAGCAAUACACUGAUGGCGACCGGCGCACGGGUGAGUAACGCGUAUGCAACCUACCUACUACAGGGGGAUAGCCCGAAGAAAUUCGGAUUAAUACCGCAUAAAACAGGGGCACCGCAUGGUGAUAUUUGUUAAAAAUUUAUUGGUAGUAGAUGGGCAUGCGUUCCAUUAGCUAGUUGGUAGGGUAAUGGCUUACCAAGGCAACGAUGGAUAGGGGAACUGAGAGGUUGAUCCCCCACACUGGUACUGAGACACGGACCAGACUCCUACGGGAGGCAGCAGUGAGGAAUAUUGGUCAAUGGACGAGAGUCUGAACCAGCCAAGUCGCGUGAAGGAUGAAGGUUCUAUGGAUUGUAAACUUCUUUUGUACAGGGGUAAAAAACGGGACGUGUCCUGUCUUGCAAGUACUGUACGAAUAAGCAUCGGCUAACUCCGUGCCAGCAGCCGCGGUAAUACGGAGGAUGCGAGCGUUAUCCGGAUUUAUUGGGUUUAAAGGGUGCGUAGGCGGUUUAUUAAGUCAGCGGUGAAAGUUUGAGGCUCAACCUUAAAAUUGCCGUUGAAACUGGUAGACUUGAGUAUAGAUGAAGUAGGCGGAAUUAGUGGUGUAGCGGUGAAAUGCAUAGAUAUCACUAGGAACUCCGAUAGCGAAGGCAGCUUACUAAGGUAUAACUGACGCUGAUGCACGAAAGUGUGG
rnacentral:rRNA from 1 species